rnacentral:rRNA from 1 species
UACGGGGGGAGCAAGCGUUGUUCGGAUUUACUGGGCGUAAAGGGCGCGUAGGCGGCCACCGCAAGUCGACUGUGAAAUCUCCGGGCUUAACCCGGAAAGGUCAGCCGAUACUGCGGGGCUAGAGUGCAGAAGGGGCAACUGGAAUUCUCGGUGUAGCGGUGAAAUGCGUAGAUAUCGAGAGGAACACCUGCGGCGAAGGCGGGUAGCUGGGCCGACACUGACGCUGAGGCGCGAAAGCGUGGGGAGCGAUCCGG